CCUACGGGAUGCUGCAGUCGAGAAUCUUUCACAAUGGGGGCAACCCUGAUGGAGCGACGCCGCGUGGAGGAUAAGGUCUUCGGAUUGUAAACUCCUGUCAUGCGAGAACAAGGUUGCAGGGCUAACACCUUUGCAAAUUGAUGGUACCGCAAGAGGAAGAGACGGCUAACUCUGUGCCAGCAGCCGCGGUAAUACAGAGGUCUCAAGCGUUGGUGGGAAUCGCUGGGAGUUGGCGUUGCGUGUCAGAUGUGAAAGCCCGGGGCUCAACCUCGGAAUUGCAUCCGAUACUGCCAUGCUGGAGUACUGAAGAGGUGACUAGAAUUCUAGGUGCAGCAGUGAAAUGCGUAGAUAUCUAGAGGAAUACCAACGGCGAAGGCAGGUCACUGGGCAGUUACUGACACUGAGGCACGAAGGCCAGGGGAGCAAGCGGGAUUAGAUACCCCAGUAGUC
rnacentral:rRNA from 1 species